CAGGAUAACAGAGAAGUUGUGGGGUUAUUUCACCUUUUUUAUUGAACCAGUUGAGGAAGAAAGUUGGCCCUGAUUUAGCAGAGAGGAAUAUGUCAUUCUGAGAUGAGGAGAGGAUUCUGGAUGUUUUUCCCAUGGACUGUCGGUUUGUCAAUGGAAUUGAAGGCCCAAUUAACCAGCCUGUCUGUGGAACCAUGUGUUUGUGUUUGGUCUUUGUGCUAGCAGAGGUGUGCUUGGUCUCAGUGUGUAGUAGCAGAGGUGUGCUUGGUCUCAGUGUGUAGUAGCAGAGGUGUGCUUGGUCUCAGUGUGUAGUAGCAGAGGUGUGCUUGGUCUCAGUGUGUAGUAGCAGAGGUGUGCUUGGUCUCAGUGUGUAGUAGCAAAGGUGUGCUUGGUCUCAGUGUGUAGUAGCAGAGGUGUGCUUGGUCUCAGUGUGUAGUAGCAGAGGUGUGCUUGGUCUCAGUGUGUAGUAGCAGAGGUGUGCUUGGUCUCAGUGUGUAGUAGCAGAGGUGUGCUUGGUCUCAGUGUGUAGUAGCAGAGGUGUGCUUGGUCUCAGUGUGUAGUAGCAGAGGUGUGCUUGGUCUCAGUGUGUAGUAGCAGAGGUGUGCUUGGUCUCAGUGUGUAGUAGCAGAGGUGUGCUUGGUCUCAGUGUGUAGUAGCAGAGGUGUGCUUGGUCUCAGUGUGUAGUAGCAGAGGUGUGCUUGGUCUCAGUGUGUAGUAGCAGAGGUGUGCUUGGUCUCAGUGUGUAGUAGCAGAGGUGUGCUUGGUCUCAGUGUGUAGUAGCAGAGGUGUGCUUGGUCUCAGUGUGUAGUAGCAGAGGUGUGCUUGGUCUCAGUGUGUAGUAGCAGAGGUGUGCUUGGUCUCAGUGUGUAGUAGCAGAGGUGUGCUUGGUCUCAGUGUGUAGUAGCAGAGGUGUGCUUGGUCUCAGUGUGUAGUAGCAGAGGUGUGCUUGGUCUCAGUGUGUAGUAGCAGAGGUG